GCCUGGCUGGUUCAGUUGGUAGAGCAAGUGACUCUUGAUCUCAGGGCUGCGAGUUCGAACCCCACGUUGGGUG
rnacentral:tRNA from 1 species